rnacentral:misc_RNA from 1 species
GAUGAAGAACGUAGCGAAAUGCGAUAAGUAAUGUGAAUUGCAGAAUUCAGUGAAUCAUCGAAUCUUUGAACGCACAUUGCGCCCGUCAGUAUUCUGGCGGGCAUGCCUGUUCGAGCGUCAUUACGCCCCUCAAGUCCCCUGUGGACUUGGUGUUGGGGAUCGGCGAGGCUGGUUUUCCAGCACAGCCGUCCCUUAAAUUAAUUGGCGGUCUCGCCGUGGCCCUCCUCUGCGCAGUAGUAAAACACUCGCAACAGGAGCCCGGCGCGGUCCACUGCCGUAAAACCCCCCAACUUUUUAUAGUUGACCUCGAAUCAGGUAGGACUACCCGCUGAACUUAAGCAUAUCAAUAAGCUGAGGA